AGAUCGUUUAUCCUAAAGAGUCUAAAUUAUAAAGAGACGAAAUGUUCCAAUUGGAAUUCCAAAUUAUCUGUCAGUGUCAUUCCAAUCGAACGAGAGACCUGUCAAUCAUAACUUCGAGAAAAACAAAGUGAAAAAGUAUUGUGUUCGAAAUAAUAAUAUUUGCUUCUUAGAUGGUAGGGCUAGUACGAUCGUUGUGCGUCAAUGAUAUUGUGAACAAAUUAGAAAAAGUUUGGUGUCUAUUAUCCAUCUGCAUCUCCAUCAACAUUUUGCAAUUGUAAACGACCGGAUUCUGUUCUAAAAAUGAGGAUAAAAAUGCUGCCAAUAUUGUUAUUGAUAGCCUGCGGUAUAAACAGUGGAUGAUUGAAAGGAGGAAUCCCUGCUCUAUAAGAUCAAAAAUCUAUGGAUCUACGAUUGAAUUAAGGAAACUGGACAGCUGGCUUAUGUGGAUACAUUCCAGGACUAUAACCAUCGAUGAAAUUCCUGUGUUCCGUUCGUGCAACAUAAUUUCAAUGGGACGUUCAACGAUAAAUAGGAGAAUAACCAGGAUGUGAAAUCAGGAACUGCAUACAAACAGCCAUCGAUUGCUAAUGAAUUGCAUUGACAAAUUGCGCUCUUGAAAGUGUAUGCAUUCAUCGAACACACCCGCUGAAACCACUGCUGAAUCGGAUUUUUAGCAAUAAUCAUGAUUACAUGGACACUUGGUCAGCAUGUUCUUGCCCAAUAGUAUCCAUCCCUUCGAUACUGGUUGGGAAGUGUCUUAAACCAAGAUCGGUCGCAGUACACGAACCUCGAAAAAGCACGCUUGUUGAACAUAGUGUGAACCUGGUGCUGCUGGGGUUGGUUGAAAGCACAACCGCUGUUGAGUAAAGGCACUUCCUAAAUAGUAUCGAAAGGGUGCGGCAGGGGCACCUUUGGGUAGAAACAUAAAAGGAACAUGCUGAUCAGUGUCCACGUAACAAUUGAUAAAUCUUUAGAUUCUUAUCUUAAUCGACGUACUUUAUAUGUCAUAGGAUUACAGUUUGUGUACCGUCAAACGGGGUGGCUUGCAACACAUGAUCAUUUACCAUCAUAUACCAUAAAUUACCAUCAUAUUCACCGUAAAAUACAAUUAUCGCAAAAUUAUAGAAAAUUUAACAUAAAAUGGUCCUGCUGUGGCCAAAA